rnacentral:rRNA from 1 species
UUAGGUCGACCCGCUGAAUUUAAGCAUAUCACUAAGCGGAGGAAAAGAAACUAACAAGGAUUCCCUCAGUAACGGCGAGUGAACAGGGAAGAGCCCAGCACCGAAGCCUGUGGCCAGUUGGUCAUUAGGCAAUGUGGUGUUUAGGUCGUUCCGCAGAAGUACUGCUCCACCCCAAGUCCAUCAAUGAGUACGGUAGUACAGACAUGGCCCAUGGAGGGUGAAAGGCCCGUUCGGGUGGAGAUUCGGCAGGCCAGUGCUUCUCUGGAUAGACCUUGGAGUCGGGUUGUUUGUGAAUGCAGCCCAAAGUGGGUGGUAAACUCCAUCCAAGGCUAAAUACAAGCACGAGUCCGAUAGCGAACAAGUACCGUGAGGGAAAGUUGAAAAGUACUUUGAAGAGAGAGUUAACAGUGCGUGAAACCGCUCAGAGGUAAGCAGGUGGAGUUGAACUGCAAGCUUUGAGAAUUCAGCUGGUGAGGUUGGUUUGAGCUUGGUCAAAUUGGUUGGACUCCGGGGUACGUCAACCCACGUGUCUUCACCCUCUGGGUGGGGAUUUGCGAUGCACUUAUCAGGUGCUGCAUGCCUCGGUUGUUCUUCGAGCCUCCUUGCCAGUGCACUUUCUCGGAGUGGUCACCACGACCGACGCCGCUGUCAGACUGUCAUAGUUAAACCGGUCUUGUAGUGUCCUUGUGGCAUUGCCUGGUCGGGAUGGCAGGUAGCUUGUUGGCUUGCUUCGGCUUGCCUUCGAGUGUAAUCAGCUGACUGUGAUGGUUCUGUGCAGUGCGUUGGAGACGGCGGCUAGUGGUGUGUGCAUGCGUGCUCGAUCUGCUGGCGUAUCCUGGUUUGGUUCCUAUGUUGCUUGCGACAGCAGGCCUAGUUAUGGCUGGGAUUCGUUCGGUGGAUGGUUGCGUGUGUGGCACUUCCAAGGGCCAAUAGUCUGUGGUGUAGUGGUAGACUAUCCACCUGACCCGUCUUGAAACACGGACCAAGGAGAGUAACAUGUGCGCGAGUCAUUGGGCGUAACGAAACCCACAGGCGCAGUGAAAGUAAAGGUUUGGCUUGUCCAGACUGAGGUGAGAUCCUGUCGUUUCCCACGCGCGGUAUCACCAAGCACGGAGCGGCAGGCGCAUCACCAGCCCGUCACAUGACGUAGUCUCAUCUUCGGAUUGUGCAUCGUCGUGGCGGAGCAUGAGCGUACAUGUUGAGACCCGAAAGAUGGUGAACUAUGCUUGCGCAGGUUGAAGCCAGAGGAAACUCUGGUGGAGGACCGCAGCGAUUCUGACGUGCAAAUCGAUCGUCAAACGUGAGUAUAGGGGCGAAAGACUAAUCGAACCAUCUAGUAGCUGGUUCCCUCCGAAGUUUCCCUCAGGAUAGCA